UAGAAUACGGGUAGGUUGUUCCGUAUAAUCUUUCUAAUAUGGUGAAAGAGUUUCUACACAGAUGCCGUAAAUAUCUGUACUACUAAGAGAUAAAAAAUCUCU
rnacentral:ncRNA from 1 species